UUUUAUAAUUAAUAAUUAUAUAUUUAAUAAAAAUAAUUUUAAUUUAAUAAAUAUUUUAAUGGGGGUUAAAGUAUUAUUUAAAGAAAAAAUUUUUAAAUUUAUAGUUAAUUAGUAUUGUGAAAGAAUUUUGAAAUAUUUGAAAAUAUAAUUUUAGUAAAGUAAUUUUUAUUUAUUGUAUCUUGUGUAUCAGAGUUUAUUAAAAAUUUUUAAUUUUUAAUUUCUCGAAUUUAAAAGAGUUAAAUAAUUAUUAAAGUUAUUGUAGCAAAAUUAUUUUAAAUAAUUAUUUAGAAAUGAAAUGUUAAUCGUUUUUAAAUAUAUCUAGUUUUUAUAGAAAAAAUUUUAAUUUUAAAUUUAAUUUUAUUAUUAAUUAAUUUAUUAAUUAAAUAAUUAUAAAAAUUUUAUAAUUUAAGGGAUAAGCUUUAAAUUAGAUUUUUAUAAUAUUAAAUUUUUAUUUUGAAAAUUUUAUAAUUUAUAUUGUUAAUAAAUUUUAUUUUAUUAUAAAUAAUUUCAUUUUUUUUUAAAAUUUAAAUUUUAUUUAAUUUUUUAUAUAAAAUUUAUUUAUAAUUAUAUAAAUUUAAUUAUAAUGAUAAAAUUAGUAUAUUUAAAAUUUUUAAUUAUUAAUUAAAUUAAUUAAAAGGAAUUCGGCAAAUAUUUAUUUUCACUUGUUUAUCAAAAACAUGUCUUUUUGUUAAUUUAAAGUYUAAUCUGCCCACUGAUAAUUGAAGGGCUGCAGUAUAUUGACUGUACAAAGGUAGCAUAAUCAUUAGUCUCUUAAUUGGUGACUUGUAUGAAAGAUUGGAUGAAAAAUAUACUGUCUCUUAAUUAAUAUGUAGAAUUUAAUUUUUUAUUUAAAAAGUUAAAAUAAUUUAAAAAGACGAGAAGACCCUAUAGAGUUUAAUAAGAAUAAUUUUAUAAAUUUUUUUAUUUUAUUGGGGUGAUAGAAAAAUAAAUUUAACUUUUUUUAAAUAAUUUAACAAAAAUAAAUGAUUAAUUGAUCCAAUUUAUUAUUGAUUAUAAGAUUAAAUUACCUUAGGGAUAACAGCGUAAUUUUUUUUUUUAGUUCAAAUAAGAAAAAAAGUUUGCGACCUCGAUGUUGGAUUAAGAUAAAAUUUAAAUGCAAAAGUUUAAAAUUUUUGAUCUGUUCGAUCAUUAAAAUCU
rnacentral:rRNA from 1 species